ensembl:miRNA
UAUUGGGUUGGUGCAAAAGUAUUUGUGGGUUUUGUCAUAGAAAGUAAUGGCAAAAACUGCAGUUACUUGUGCAUCAACCUAAUGCU